GACGAACCGUGCGAACGUUGUUCGGAAUCACUGGGCUUAAAGGGCGCGUAGGCGGGCUAUCAAGUCCGGGGUGAAAUCCUCCAGCUUAACUGGAGAACUGCCUCGGAUACUGAUGGUCUCGAGGAGGAUAGGGGCACACGGAACUGUGGGUGGAGUGGUGAUAUGCGUAGAUAUCGGGAGGAACACCUGUGGCGAAGGCGGCUUUCUGGGCCCUACCUGACGCUGAGACGCGAAAGCGUGGGGAGCGAACCGG
rnacentral:rRNA from 1 species